CCACAGCUGCAACCGCACGGAUUAGGUUUUAAGCUAUGGCGCCUAAAACGGCGAGUAUAAGAAAUUUU
rfam:Lactobacillus composti DSM 18527 = JCM 14202 strain DSM 18527 NODE_16, whole genome shotgun sequence.